GGCGAACGCUGGCGGCGUGCUUAACACAUGCAAGUCGAACGGAAAGGCCCUGCUUUUGUGGGGUGCUCGAGUGGCGAACGGGUGAGUAACACGUGAGUAACCUGCCCUUGACUUUGGGAUAACUUCAGGAAACUGGGGCUAAUACCGGAUAGGAGCUCCUGCUGCAUGGUGGGGGUUGGAAAGUUUCGGCGGUUGGGGAUGGACUCGCGGCUUAUCAGCUUGUUGGUGGGGUAGUGGCUUACCAAGGCUUUGACGGGUAGCCGGCCUGAGAGGGUGACAGGCACCAUGGGAAAGAAGUUACGACCAUAACUCGUCGGGGAGGAACAGGUGGGGAUAUUGCAAGAUGGGCGGAAGCCUGAUGCAGCAACGCCGCGUGCGGGAUGACGGCCUUCGGGUUGUAAACCGCUUUCGCCUGUGACGAAGCGUGAGUGACGGUAAUGGGUAAAGAAGCACCGGCUAACUACGUG
rnacentral:rRNA from 1 species